AAACCGUGAUGAGGACAUUCUAAAAUAAGAUCCUUGAAACGUUCCAUACAACAGGAAAAUGAUUCAUUGGGUCACUGGUGAAACUGGAGAAUGUUGUUCCUAAGUUU
rnacentral:snoRNA from 1 species